rnacentral:rRNA from 1 species
AUUGAACGCUGGCGGUAUGCUUAACACAUGCAAGUCGAACGGAAACAGGACGCUGUGAUCUCCUCGGAGUGAACUUGUCGCUGUCGAGUGGCGGACGGGUGAGUAAUGCUUAGGAAUCUGCCCAGUAGUGGGGGACAACACGGGGAAACUCGUGCUAAUACCGCAUACGCCCUAAGGGGGAAAGCGGGGGAUCUUCGGACCUCGCGCUAUUGGAUGAGCCUAAGUCGGAUUAGCUUGUUGGUGGGGUAAAGGCCCACCAAGGCGACAAUCCGUAGCCGGUCUGAGAGGACGAUCAGCCACACUGGGACUGAGACACGGCCCAG